rnacentral:rRNA from 1 species
GAGCUAGCAGCUAGCUCUGUGCAACUCUCACAUGGACUUAAGCUAAGCAAGGCUGCGCCUGGUCAGUACCUGGAUGGGAGACCACAUGGGAAAGCUAGGUUGUUGGCGAA